AGAGUUUGAUCCUCGCUCAGGACGAACGCUGGCGGCGGGCCUAACACAUGCAAGUCGUGGGAGAAGCCGUCUCUUCGGAGGCGGUGGAGACCGGCGGAUGGGUGAGUAACGCGUAGGCAACCUGCCUGGGAGGCGGGGAUAACGUUCCGAAAGGGGCGCUAAUACCCGAUGAUGCAGCGGCCCCGCAUGGGGACAGUUGUUAAAGGCUUCGGCCACUUCCAGAUGGGCCUGCAUGCCAUUAGCUAGUUGGCGGGGUAGAAGCCCACCAAGGCGAUGAUGGCUAGGGGGUCUGAGAGGAUGAUCCCCCACACUGGGACUGAGACACGGCCCAGACUCCUACGGGAGGCAGC
rnacentral:rRNA from 1 species